AGCGAACGUUAGCGGCGCGCCUAACACAUGCAAGUCGCACGAGAAAGGGAGCAAUCCCCGGUACAGUGGCGCACGGGUGAGUAACACGUAGAUGACCUUCCCUGGAGUGGUGGAUAACCUGCCGAAAGGCGGGCUAAUACAGCAUGGGACCACAUGGUUUUGACCGAGUGGUGAAAGCGGGCCUCUGUUCACAAGCUCGCGCUCUGGGAUGGGUCUGCGUCCCAUCAGCUAGUUGGUGAGGUAAUGGCUCACCAAGGCAUCGACGGGUAGCUGGUCUGAGAGGAUGACCAGCCACACUGGAACUGAGACACGGUCCAGACUCCUACGGGAGGCAGCAGUGGGGAAUCUUGUGCAAUGGGCGAAAGCCUGACGCAGCGACGCCGCGUGGGUGAUGAAGGCC
rnacentral:rRNA from 1 species